rnacentral:rRNA from 1 species
UACGAGGGGAGCAAGCGUUGUUCGGAUUUACUGGGCGUAAAGGGCGCGUAGGCGGCGUGACAAGUCACUUGUGAAAUCUCCGGGCUUAACUCGGAACGGUCAAGUGAUACUGUCGUGCUAGAGUACAGAAGGGGCAACUGGAAUUCUCGGUGUAGCGGUGAAAUGCGUAGAUAUCGGGAGGAACACCAAUGGCGAAGGCAGCUCGCUGGGACGUGACUGACGCUGAGACGCGAAAGCGUGGGGAGCAAACAGG